GUUGCUUCGGUAACUGAGCUAGCGGCGGACGGGUGAGUAAUGCUUAGGAAUCUGCCUAUUAGUGGGGGACAACAUUCCGAAAGGGAUGCUAAUACCGCAUACGCCCUACGGGGGAAAGCAGGGGAUCUUCGGACCUUGCGCUAAUAGAUGAGCCUAAGUCGGAUUAGCUAGUUGGUGGGGUAAAGGCCUACCAAGGCGACGAUCUGUAGCGGGUCUGAGAGGAUGAUCCGCCACACUGGGACUGAGACACGGCCCAGACUCCUACGGGAGGCAGCAGUGGGGAAUAUUGGACAAUGGGGGGAACCCUGAUCCAGCCAUGCCGCGUGUGUGAAGAAGGCCUUUUGGUUGUAAAGCACUUUAAGCGAGGAGGAGGCGCUCUAGGAUAAUACCCUAGAUGCGUGGACGUUACUCGCAGAAUAAGCACCGGCUAACUCUGUGCCAGCAGCCGCGGUAAUACAGAGGGUGCGAGCGUUAAUCGGAUUUACUGGGCGUAAAGCGCGCGUAGGUGGCUAAUUAAGUCAAAUGUGAAAUCCCCGAGCUUAACUUGGGAAUUGCAUUCGAUACUGGUUAGCUAGAGUAUGGGAGAGGAUGGUAGAAUUCCAGGUGUAGCGGUGAAAUGCGUAGAGAUCUGGAGGAAUACCGAUGGCGAAGGCAGCCAUCUGGCCUAAUACUGACACUGAGGUGCGAAAGCAUGGGGAGCAAACAGGAUUAGAUACCCUGGUAGUCCAUGCCGUAAACGAUGUCUACUAGCCGUUGGGGCCUUUGAGGCUUUAGUGGCGCAGCUAACGCGAUAAGUAGACCGCCUGGGGAGUACGGUCGCAAGACUAAAACUCAAAUGAAUUGACGGGGGCCCGCACAAGCGGUGGAGCAUGUGGUU
rnacentral:rRNA from 1 species